GGUACCCAGUUCAGAUUGCAGGCUGCAACUCGCCUGUAUGAAGUCGGAAUUGCUAGUAAUCGCGGAUCAGCAUGCCGCGGUGAAUACGUUCCCGGGCCUUGUACACACCGCCCGUCACACCAUGGGAGCCGGUAAUACCCGAAGUCAGUAGUCUAGCCGCAAGGAGGGCGCUGCCGAAGGUAGGAUUGGCGACUGGGGUGAAGUCGUAACAAGGUAUC
rnacentral:rRNA from 1 species